UACGGAGGGUGCAAGCGUUAAUCGGAAUCACUGGGCGUAAAGCGCACGCAGGCGGAUCGAUAAGUCGGGGGUGAAAGCCCGGGGCUCAACCUCGGAAUUGCCUUCGAUACUGUCGGUCUCGAGUCCGGGAGAGGUGAGUGGAAUUCCUAGUGUAGAGGUGAAAUUCGUAGAUAUUAGGAAGAACACCAGUGGCGAAGGCGGCUCACUGGCCCGGUACUGACGCUCAGGUGCGAAAGCGUGGGGAGCAAACAGG
rnacentral:rRNA from 1 species